rnacentral:rRNA from 1 species
CUACGACCAUAUCACGUUGAACAAAACACCGGUUCUCGUCCGAUCACCGAAGUUAAGCAACGUCGAGCCCGGUUAGUACUUGGAUGGGUGACCGCCUGGGAAUACCGGGUGUUGUAG